rnacentral:rRNA from 1 species
UACGGGGGGAGCAAGCGUUGUUCGGAUUUACUGGGCGUAAAGGGCGCGUAGGCGGCCACCGCAAGUCGACUGUGAAAUCUCCGGGCUUAACCCGGAAAGGUCAGCCGAUACUGCGGGGCUAGAGUGCAGAAGGGGCAACUGGAAUUCUCGGUGUAGCGGUGAAAUGCGUAGAUAUCGAGAGGAACACCUGCGGCGAAGGCGGGUUGCUGGGCUGACACUGACGCUGAGGCGCGAAAGCUAGGGGAGCGAAAGGG